GUGCUUGCUUCAGCAGCACAUAUACUAAAAAUUGAAAUGAUACAGAGAAGAUUAGUAUGGCCCCUGUGCAAGGAUGACAUAUGAAGCAUUCCAUAUUUAA
rnacentral:snRNA from 1 species